AAAUUGAAGAGUUUGAUCAUGGCUCAGAUUGAACGCUGGCGGCAGGCCUAACACAUGCAAGUCGAACGGUAACAGGAAGCAGCUUGCUGCUUUGCUGACGAGUGGCGGACGGGUGAGUAAUGUCUGGGAAACUGCCCGAUGGAGGGGGAUAACUACUGGAAACGGUAGCUAAUACCGCAUAACGUCGCAAGACCAAAGAGGGGGACCUUAGGGCCUCUUGCCAUCGGAUGUGCCCAGAUGGGAUUAGCUAGUAGGUGGGGUAACGGCUCACCUAGGCGACGAUCCCUAGCUGGUCUGAGAGGAUGACCAGCCACACUGGAACUGAGACACGGUCCAGACUCCUACGGGAGGCAGCAGUGGGGAAUAUUGCACAAUGGGCGCAAGCCUGAUGCAGCCAUGCCGCGUGUAUGAAGAAGGCCUUCGGGUUGUAAAGUACUUUCAGCGGGGAGGAAGGGAGUAAAGUUAAUACCUUUGCUCAUUGACGUUACCCGCAGAAGAAGCACCGGCUAACUCCGUGCCAGCAGCCGCGGUAAUACGGAGGGUGCAAGCGUUAAUCGGAAUUACUGGGCGUAAAGCGCACGCAGGCGGUUUGUUAAGUCAGAUGUGAAAUCCCCGGGCUCAACCUGGGAACUGCAUCUGAUACUGGCAAGCUUGAGUCUCGUAGAGGGGGUAGAAUUCCAGGUGUAGCGGUGAAAUGCGUAGAGAUCUGGAGGAAUACCGGUGGCGAAGGCGGCCCCCUGGACGAAGACUGACGCUCAGGUGCGAAAGCGUGGGGAGCAAACAGGAUUAGAUACCCUGGUAGUCCACGCCGUAAACGAUGUCGACUUGGAGGUUGUGCCCUUGAGGCGUGGCUUCCGGAGCUAACGCGUUAAGUCGACCGCCUGGGGAGUACGGCCGCAAGGUUAAAACUCAAAUGAAUUGACGGGGGCCCGCACAAGCGGUGGAGCAUGUGGUUUAAUUCGAUGCAACGCGAAGAACCUUACCUGGUCUUGACAUCCACGGAAGUUUUCAGAGAUGAGAAUGUGCCUUCGGGAACCGUGAGACAGGUGCUGCAUGGCUGUCGUCAGCUCGUGUUGUGAAAUGUUGGGUUAAGUCCCGCAACGAGCGCAACCCUUAUCCUUUGUUGCCAGCGGUCCGGCCGGGAACUCAAAGGAGACUGCCAGUGAUAAACUGGAGGAAGGUGGGGAUGACGUCAAGUCAUCAUGGCCCUUACGACCAGGGCUACACACGUGCUACAAUGGCGCAUACAAAGAGAAGCGACCUCGCGAGAGCAAGCGGACCUCAUAAAGUGCGUCGUAGUCCGGAUUGGAGUCUGCAACUCGACUCCAUGAAGUCGGAAUCGCUAGUAAUCGUGGAUCAGAAUGCCACGGUGAAUACGUUCCCGGGCCUUGUACACACCGCCCGUCACACCAUGGGAGUGGGUUGCAAAAGAAGUAGGUAGCUUAACCUUCGGGAGGGCGCUUACCACUUUGUGAUUCAUGACUGGGGUGAAGUCGUAACAAGGUAACCGUAGGGGAACCUGCGGUUGGAUCACCUCCUUA
rnacentral:rRNA from 1 species